UAGGUUUAAGGAAAACGUCCUUUUUAAUCCCUGGAGGUUCACUCGCGGUCGCAUAGGUUUUAUACUAUGCGACCGCAUAGUGGAGUUACUUUCUUGUUUGAAUCAUUUUGGUCCUCAAGUUUCAUUCAUUCACUCCUUGACCUCCUCUCUUGUUCCUAGUUGCUCCAAUGGUCCCUUAUAACUUCCAAUUGGUGCUUGGCUUGAUCAAUUGCUUGAUGUGUUCAUCGGAUCAACUUUCAGAUAAUUACAAUUUGGUCCCUAAAUUUUCUCUUUGCUUCAAUUUGGUCCUUUUUCUGCUCUUUUCUCCUUAAUUCUACUAUUUCCAUAGAAUUUCCUACAUUGCAUGAAUUUGACAAGGUUAAGUAACAAUUAAAUCAAUUUACCUGUAUUUAAGUCAUGUUUGUAAUGUAAAUAAGUGUGCAAAAACACACUUAUCAAACCCCCCAAAUUUGAACUAUUGUUUGUCUUCAAACAAGAUAGUGAUAUAAUUCUGAACAAACAUGGCUUAACACCUUGCAUUGGCUCAGGAUUGGACUAAGUAAUUGAUUUUAUGAAAAUUUAUCAGUGCAAGAUGACAUCAACCUUCACCUGUUAAGUGCAUACUUGACGUGUGUGUGUGUGGAUUCAUGCUAACAUAUCAAGUUCAUGAUGAGUUUGAGUCCCGACCCCAAGUGGUCAAAUGUUUCCUUUCUCGCUCGAGAGAUACACAACCCCCCAAACUUAUUCUUUUCACUCAAUUAUCCCGAGGUUGUGUUUAAAAAUUAUGAGUUUACCUAGCUUUAGUUCUCACCCUCUCGUAGUUUGGAUUAAUUUCACUAUCACAAGUUCACACAUCAACAAGUGAAGGCUCUCCUAGUUUUGAUUGCUUCGACACUCAAGACUAAACUAGGUUACUUGCCUCGCCUCAAAGGUAUAGUUUCUUCCACCAAUUGUCCAAGGGCUUUUCUUCUUGUUAUUGUCUCUUUUUGUUUUUCUCACUUUAUUUUAUUAUUAUUUUUUAUUAUUUUCUCAUUUGCUUUCUAUAUAACCCAUGUAACGAGCUUUAGGCCGGUAACUCCUAAACCAGUUGGUUUUAGGGCACCAAAUUUUAGACCCUUGCAGGCUUAUUCACUCGAGUUAUAAAGGCUCGAUCAGAUGACUUUUUAUUAACUUUUUUACUUCUUGCUUUCUAUAUGACCCAUGUAUCGAGCUUUAGGCCGGUGAUUCCCAGAUCAGUUGACCUUAGGGCACUAGAUUUUGAAAUAUCCUUAUAGGCUUACUUGCUCGAGUCAUAAAGGCUGAAAAAGAAGUGUCUUAUUCUCACAAAUUAAGUUCAUGCCCUUAUUUUUCUAGACAUUUGGUAUCCAAAACUAACCCUCAAUUUAAGAUUUUCACCUACUCUUCAUCCCAAUGGUCUAGGCAAUCCACACAAUAAUUCAUGCACGGAGCCUCACUCAUUUCAAUGUUCUCCUAUAAUAGCUCAACUAUCACCAAACUGUCUUAAGGUAUUUUACGGGUUCAUUCAAUAGAGGGUUAUAACUAUCUCUCUACUUAUUGCUCAAAACCCCAAUCACUGACCUAACAUAUCAAGCAUGAAUGACGUGUAUAAAGAAUGUCAAGUAUUGCAUCAACAAGUAUAGGUUAGCCUAAUUAGCACCGACCCCAAAGUUCUGAAAUGUACCAAUCCAAUAGUAACAUUAUAGCCGGCAAGGCGAUUAAGCUCACACAAGCAUACAUAAGCAUAAUCAAUAUUCACUCACAAGCAUGUCUCAUGCAGCAAUUAGUCAAAAUAAAUCUAGAUUGCGGAAAUGCAAUUAGUUACAUGCCGAAUGUCUUAAUCAAAUUAUGCCACCAUCCCCCAAACUUAUACAAGACAUUGUCCACAAUGUGAAAAAUAAGUUUAGAAGGCAGAAUUUAAGGAAAAUGAAUACAAAUUAGGCAAACGAUACUCCCCUGAUCAAAACGGGGGCUGCGGUGGGAAGCUAGAGCCUGCAGUAUCAUCAGUUGGAGGUGGAGGUAGGCGCGCCAAGAUCUCUCUCAUCAGUGCUGACUGCUGUGUCAUUUCGUCGUGGAUUCCCUCAACACGUGUCUCCAACCCGCCCAAACGCUCCCAAGUUUCAUUUACCCUCAUCUGGAUGCCAUCCACCAUGCCCACAUACACACUGAGUCGAUCAUUCAUAGUGUUCAUCUCCCUCCUAGCUGCCUGGGCAUCCUGGCGAGCAGCACGUGACAUAUCAGUGGAAAUGCGGAUGUCAUGGUGGGCUGUAUGCAUCUCAGUCGUCAAAGUCCCCAUAGCCUGCUGGAGACUCUGCACGUCUCGGCUGAUCCCCGUGGUGGUGGUGAAAAUCUGGCGCCACAACUGUGCAUUAAACUCAGCCUGUGAUGGAUGAGCUUGAGGCAUUUCUUGCUCGGCUUGCUCGUGACCUUGCUCUCCCUGCUGUCUGCGCCUCUCAAUUUCUUGCUUCUCCCAAUGCUUUAACCUGGCUCUGUCUUGGGCCUCCAAAGUACUUCGCUUUAUGGUGGAGCUAGGUUUGGCAGCCACCUCCCCGGAUACAAUGUUUAUACCAGCAGCUAUGCAAAUUCCAGAGAUGAGGCUUGGGAAGAUCAUUGAGCUGUGUCUAUCUCCCAAAGUACCCACAUGAUGUAUCUGAUCAUAGCAAAGAGUGGCAAGAUCAACCUUAUUACCUCGCACCAAGUGAUAAAGGAAUCUAGCUGUGGGAUCUGUGAAUGUGGUCUUGUGAGAGGUAGGCUCAAUAUUGUGGCACAUAAACAGCCAUAGGAUUGCUAUAGACGAUGUAAGCUCAAUCUGAUGCCACUCGGUAGUGGGAAGUGGCCAUGCAUUCUGUCGCCCCAAUAAGAUCUCCGCCACUUCAGGCCAAUUGAAGUCACCUGGUACAGGCAUUAUGUUUUCCCACGUGAGCUGGUAGUAGUCUUGAAUAACUUCGGGUGAGAAUGUGAUCCAUUUUCUCCGGACCCAAGUCUGAUGUAGGUGAUCGGACCCUGGUGUGUCAAUUUCUGUAUUGAAAUUGGCGUAAAAUUCCCCCACCAACAAUUCAUAACUCCGAUGUGGCUGCUCCACUAUUUUAUUCCAACCACAGUUCUGCACCAAAGUAGUCAGCUCGAAACCAGGAAAGUCUUCCAACUUAACAGCCCAUUCUGGUGUCACUGUCCAACGACUCACUAUGUUUUCAUAACGGGCUGCUGCCUCGGCAGUCAAAAAUCUUUGUAUACCCCCUUCAAGCACGCGAGUGCGUGCUGUGCUGGAUGAUGAGCCAACAUUCUCCUUCCCUUUUGAAGUUCGUUUUGGUGGCAUCCUGCAAGGUUGGAAAAUAGCUAGCAUUAGUCAUCUUGUUAUAUAAUGAGAAAUCGCAUGAAAUGAAAAGCACGUAAAGCACAAAUCCCCCAAACUUGUUUCAAUAAGCAUGUAUACUACCACGGUGUAAUGAACAAUGUAGGAUGAUUAGAGUAGUAUAAAUGUAUAGUCUAUAUGAAAAUAUAAGAAAAUUUUGGGAGAAUAUGCUCAUAGUUAAAGGGUUGGAAUCAUGGUUGAGUGUACACCUUCGGCCCCGGGCACCAUCGAGAAUUAUCAAGAUUGUCCCGAGCAACCUCCAGGCAUAUGGAAGUAUGCAAUGAGGUUUAGCAUAUAUCCAAAUUUCAACUCAAUCGGAGGUCGUUUGGUGUGUCAAAUAGUAGUGUAAAAUAAGGGACGGAGGGUGCUUGGGCAUGCUAUGACUUAGCUAUUUUUGUGCAUGUAUGUGUUGAUGUUGUCUAAGUCAUAUUGUUUGGUAAUACGUCACAACGAAUUAUUCCAUUCAUCGAAUAGUCAAAUGCCAUGCUAGAUGUUUGUAAAUGUAAUAGAUUACCAAUGUGCAUUUUAUCGAACAUGUUGUGUGCAAUGUGAGAUCUUCAUAUACUAGCCAAAAAUUGAUUAGUUCACAUAGUUCCCCAUUCAAAAUUCAAUCACCACGCGCAUAUACACCCAUCAAUCAAAUGAAUUGAAGGCAAAAGAUACCAAAAUACCCAAAAAUAAUCAAUUUGGCAAUUUAUCACACACAUUGCAUGCAUAGAGUGGAAAUGGUGGAAAUUGAAUGAAAUUUGAUUUAGAAUCAUUCCAAAGUAUCGCAUAACACAAGCACAAUCAAUCCAUAUGCACAAAAAUUAUUCUAAUCUUCUUCAAUUCGCCAAAAUUACAUUUAUAAUGAAUAGAACCGAAAAUGAAUUGAGGAAGUGGUGAAAGAACCCAUACCUUUUUCUUUGUAGAGUUUAAUCAAUGGAGAGAAUGGAUUUCCUAUCAAUGUUAGCACAAUGCAACGAAUGGAUUGGUGUGUGAUUUUAGUCGAAAAUCGAUUUGGGAGGAGAGUGAAAGGUCAAAAAUUAUAUUGGGACCCUUGGCAAAUGAUUCGGGUGUGGGUUAAAAACCCACACCUUUUUCUACCUAUGCGGCCGCAUAGUUAUAACCUAUGCGGUCGCAUAGGUAUGUUGGUUUGGUGGUUUUAUCUUUCGGUAGGUGCAAUGCGGUCGCAUAGACACCAUGUCUAUGCAAUCGCAUAGGCACACAAAUUUUUUUUUUUUAAAAUAGACCCGACUCUCAAAGCCCCCAAAUUGUUUAGAAACAAUUUUUUAAAAUAUGUGAAAUUUAGAAAACAUAUUAUUCCUCGAAAUACGUGAAUUCCACAGUCAACUACCCAAAACAACGUGAAUCAACCCGAACUUGUGUGUGAUUCUUAAUGACUCGUGUGCACAGUGCUUGAACUCUUUGAAGUGCCUGGAUGAGUGAUGACCACAUAACAGAAUACUAAAUGAAUGUGAACAUAAACUUCCUAAGUUAAUGCAGAAAACAUAAUGAAGUAAAUAAACAAAUAAAAAGGAUACAGUGGGUCGCCUUCCACCCAGCGCUAAGUUAUAGUCGAUAGCUCGACUUUUCUGCGGCCGCUUCAUUCUGGCGUCUCGAGUUGAACGGUUGACUUUUGUUUAGAGAAGUUACCGCCCCAAUAGUGUUUCAACAUUUGCCCAUUGACAGUGAAGGUACCCUUAUUCUCAUUGCUCACUUGUAUAGCCCCAUAUGGUAGAACUUUUGUAACUGUGUAGGGACCCGACCACCGUGAUCGUAGUUUUCCUGGGAAUAACUUGAGUCUCGAAUUAUACAGUAGUACUUGUUGCCCCACUUCGAACGCUCGCCUCUGAAUGUGCAUAGCAUGCCACUUCUUGGUUCGCUCCUUGUAAAGUUUUGUAUUUUCAUAAGCCUCCAUUCUAAAUUCAUCCAAUUCAUUCAGUUGCAGUAGACGCUUUUCUCUGGUGACAUUCAAGUCCAUAUUUAAUUGUUUCAUAGCCCAAUAUGCCCGAUACUCCAUUUCUAAUGGCAGAUGACAUGCUUUCCCAAAGAUUAGGCGGUAUGGAGACAUGCCAAUCGGGGUCUUGAAUGCUGUUCUGUAAGCCCAUAAUGCAUCGUCCAGCUUUUUAGACCAAUCCUUUCUAGAUGAAUUCACAGUAACCUCUAGUAUUCUCUUCAACUGCCGAUUAGAUACCUCAACUUGCCCGCUGGUUUGUGGAUGAUAUGGAGUAGCAACGCGGUGUUUAACGCCAUAUUUAUUCAGUAGCUGCUCAAACUGGCGAUUACAGAAAUGCUUGCCCCCAUCACUGAUUAUAGCCCGCGGUGUACCAUAUCGGGUGAAAAUGUAGUUCUUCAAGAAACCAAUUACUGUCUUUGAGUCAUUUGUUGGCAAUGCAACUGCUUCCACCCAUUUUGAGACGUAAUCGACUGCCAACAAGAUAUACUGGUUUGAGAACGAAGGGGGAAAAUGUCCCAUGAAGUCAAUUCCCCAAACAUCAAAUAUCUCCACUUUCAAAAUAUUGUUCAGUGGCAUUUCAUUUCUCCUCGAGAUAUUCCCAGUGCGUUGACAUCUAUCAUAUCUCUUAACAAACUCAAAUGUAUCUUUAAACAAUGUAGGCCAGUAAAAACCUGAUUGUAAAAUCUUUGCAGCUGUUUUUGAAGCUCUAAAGUGUCCUGCAUAUGCAGAUGAGUGACAGUACUCGAGAAUCUCAUGUACUUCUUCUUUAGGUACGCACCUCCUAACUAUCUGAUCAGCUCCUCGCCUAUAAAGAAUUGGAUCCUCCCAGAAAUAGUAUUUUAACUCGGCAAAGAAUUUUUUUCUUUGGUGACUGGAGCAGUCAGGUGGUGGAAUGGAACUGGCCAAGUAAUUGACAAUAUCUGCGUACCAAGGUGCUUCAUCCACUCUCAACAUCUGUUCAUCCGGGAAGAUCUCAUUUAUAUCCACUAAAUCUUUCGUCUCCCCAGAUUCUAGUCUGGAUAGGUGAUCUGCUACUACGUUCUCAGUGUCCUUCUUCUCGCGUAUCUCAAUGUCAAAUUCUUGCAAUAACAGCACCCAGCGAAUUAAUCUCGGCUUUGCAUCCUUCUUUGUGAGCAAAUACUUCAAUGCAGCAUGAUCAGUAUAGAUGAUGAUUUUAGAUCCAACGAGGUAUGACCUGAAUUUGUCAAAUGCAAACACUACAGCCAACAGCUCCUUUUCAGUGGUUGCAUAAUUUAGUUGUGCAUCAUUUAGAGUUCUGCUUGCAUAGUAGAUCACAUGAAAAAUCUUGUUCCUCCGCUGUCCCAAUACUGCACCUACAGCGUGAUCACUUUCAUCACACAUCAAUUCAAAAGGUAAUUCCCAGUCUGGAGCUACAAUCACUGGUGCUGUUGUAAGCUUUUCCUUUAAAGUGUUGACAGCUAUGAGACAAUCCUCAUUGAACUCAAAAGUUGCAUCUUUCAUUAGUAAGUUGCAUAAAGGUUUAGUGAUCUUCGAGAAAUCUUUUAUAAAUCUCCGGUAGAACCCAGCGUGCCCCAAAAAACUACGAACUCCUUUAACUGAUGUAGGCGGUGGUAAUUUCUCAAUCACUUGAAUUUUUACCUUGUCUACCUCAAUUCCUUUUGCUGAUAUCCUAUGCCCAAGUACAAUGCCUUCUUGCACCAUAAAGUGGCAUUUUUCCCAAUUUAAAACUAAGUUAGUCUCCUUGCAUCUCUGUAAGACCAAAUUCAAGUGGUUUAGACAUUCAUCAAAUGAAGAUCCAAAUACUGAGAAGUCGUCCAUGAAAACCUCGAUAAACCUUUCAAUCAUGUCAGAGAAUAUUGCCAUCAUGCACCUCUGAAAUGUGGCUGGAGCGUUGCAAAGACCAAAAGGCAUCCUACGAUAAGCAAAAGUACCGUAGGGGCAAGUGAAAGUGGUCUUCUCCUGAUCCUCUGGUGCGACAGGUAUCUGAUUAUAGCCCGAGUAUCCAUCAAGAAAGCAGUAGUGUGAAUGUCUAGCCCACCUCUCCAACAUCUGAUCAAUGAAUGGCAGUGGGAAGUGAUCCUUUCGUGUAGCUGCAUUGAGUUUGCGAUAGUCAAUGCAAACUCUCCAACCCGUAACUGUUCUAGUGGGAAUUAGUUCAUUCUUCUCAUUUUUCACCACUGUGAUUCCCUCUUUUUUCGGUACCACUUGAACAGGGCUGAUUCAUGCACUAUCUGAAAUUGGGUAAAUAAUUCCUGCAUCCAAUAACUUUAGUAUCUCUGCCCUGACUACUUCCUUCAUGUUCGGGUUCAAUCUUCUCUGACUUUCUAUGCUAGGCUUGCAAUUUUCCUCCAUUAAGAUUUUAUGCAUGCAAAUGGAAGGACUGAUUCCUUUAAUGUCAGCUAUUGUCCAACCAAUCGCCGUCUUGCUCUCUCUAAGUACCCUGAGCAAUUUUUCCUCCUCCAUUUCACUGACUGUGUUCGAAAUGAUUACUGGAAGUGUAUCUGAUUCUCCUAAAUAAGCAUAUCUGAGAUGUGGCGGCAGUUGUUUAAGUUCUAAAAUUGGCGGCUGCUGAACUGAAGGUAGUGGCUUUGUGUUUCCCGUUCCCAGUUCCUCGAAGUGUCUCUUUCGUGUGUAUGGCGACCUAAAAUCUUGCACAUGUUUCAACUUCAACAGAUUCUGACUGGAUUGAUUGGGAUUGUGCAAUACAUGCCUCAUAGGCGUCAGAUUGACCGUGUAGUAAAAAUGUUUCUUGUACUGCCUUGUCAAUAAUAUCAACUUGAUAACAGCUGUCAGAUUCUGCUGGUAACUUCAUUGCCUUGAAUACAUUGAAUGAUAUCUGCUCCUCUCCCAAUCUUAAAAUCAACUGACCUCUUUGAACAUCUAUUAAUGCUCUCCCUGUUACCAGAAAUGGUCUGCCAAGUAUCAAGGGAACGUCCUUGUCCUCUUCCAUGUCCAGGAUAAGAAAGUCUGCUGGAAAUAUGAACUUCUCAACCUUGAUAAGUACAUUUUCAAUUAUUCCUCUAGGAUGUGUCAGUGACCUGUCAGCCAGCUGAAGUGUCACAGUGGUUGCUUUAACUUCUCCCAAUCCUAGUUUCCUGAAAACAGACAAAGGCAUUAAAUUAAUACUUGCAACGAGGUCACAUAAUGCUCUAUCGAAAUAUACUUCACCGAUUGUGCAAGGAACAGUAAAACUCACUGGAUCUUUUAGUUUUGGUGGAAGCUUGUUUUGAAUUCUGGCACUACAUUCCUCAGUAAGCAUGACUGUCUCAUGAUCUUCCAGCUUGCGUUUAUUUGAUAUGAUAUCCUUCAGAAACUUCGCAUAGCUAGGCAUCUGGAAUAGUGCAUCUGCUAGCGGGAUGUUGAUAUGGAGCUUUUUGAAGAUUUCUAGAAAUUUUUUGUAUUGUUGCUCAACUUUUUGCUUCUUCAAACGCUGUGGAAAGGGAAUCGGAGGUUCGUAGGGGUUGACUGUGACUUUGGCAUUAACUUGUGAUUCUUGUGACUUUUCCUUUGAACUUGAUUCCUUUACAACUGUCUCCUCUUCAGCGGAGGAAGAUGUUUCUCCAAUCACUCCCGGUCUCUUGACAUGAAUUUUAGGUAAUUGAACUCCACUUCGAGUUGUAAUGGCCUUUGCUUGCUCUUUAGGAUUGAUUUCUGUAUUACUUGGUAAGUUACCUGGUGUUCUGCCAGUCAAUGCGAUGGCUAGCUGCCCCAUCUGAGUUUCCAAAUUUUUGAUGGCUGCAUUUUGAUUUUGAAGUGUAGCUUCGGCCUUCUCCAUGAACUUUCCUAUCAUAUCUUCCAAUUGAGGCCUCUUCUCCUGUUGUUGAAACUGCUCCUGUGGCUUAUUCUGAUUCUGGUUGCUCCACGAGAAGUUGGGAUGUUUCUUCCAGUUGGGAUUGAAAGUCUCACCAUAUUGAUUAUUCUGCUGGCGUUGUCCCCACUGUGCGUAGUCUGCUUGCUCAAUUCCUUGCAUGAGUAUAGGGCAAUCUGAUGUUUUAUGUUCGGCUCCACAUUCUUCACAAUUGCUCUUCUUAGCUUGUGAAGCUUGUGAUAUGCUCUCCACCUUGUGAUACAGAGAAUCAAUUUUUGCAGAGAUUGCUGAAUAAGCGUCCACCUCGUAGACACCUGGAGUUUUCUUUGGAGUUGCCCUCUCAGAAGACCACAUGGCUGAUGUGGUAGCCAUUCGCUCAAAUAAUUCCAAUGCCCCAUCAACUGUUCUUGUAGAUAUUGAGCCAUCUGAUGCUAAAUCUACCAUGCUCUUAUGGUAUGGAAGUAAUCCUAUGUAGAAGAAGCGGAUUUGGAUCUUUUUAUCGAACCCAUGCUGAGGGCAUUUCCGGAGCAUGUUUUUGAAUCUGUUCCAGGCUUCAUCAAAUGAUUCAGUCUCUCCUUGAUUGAAUACUGAUAUAUCAUGUCUCAGCUUUGCUAUCUUGGCUGGGGAGAAGAACUUUGUGCAGAACUUGUGUGCCAACUCAUUCUAUGUAGUGAUACUUGCAACCAGGAGUGAAUCCAACCAUUCAAGUGCUCGAUCUCGUAAUGUAUGUGGAAAGAGCCUCAACCUAAUAGCGUCAUCCAAAAUCCCUUGAUAUCUGAAAUGUUGACACAUAUCCAGAAAUCGAGAUACAUGUGUGUGUGGGUUCUCCUCAGCCUUGCCAUAGAAAUGGUGUCCAUUUUGAAACAGCUGUAUUACAUUGGUCUUCAACUGAAAAUUAGGUUGCCCAAACGGUGGAUACACUAUGCUGGACUGACUUUGAAUCACUUGAAGAGUCAAGAAAUCCCCCAGAAUCUCAUUCCCUUCGUCCAUUGCCUCUCCUUCGUUAGUAUGAAUCAUGGGAUUGUUUAACUCGUUGGUCAUUUGUACUUGUGCUUCGCGGUGAUUUCUUUGUCGUCGGUGAAAAGUGAGCUCAAUUUCAGGAUCAGCUGGAAUCAAUUCUCCUCCAGGCAAUCGUGACAUGCAAAUCUGAGAAUUAAAACCAGUAUGAGCACUUAGAUUCAAACAAUUUAAUUAACUAAAAUACAAAUAGAGAAAAAUAAACUAAAAUAAAAAUAAACACAAAAUUAUGCUAAAUAAAAAAAAUUAAGUUCGAAUUAGUGCCUCAAGAAAUAAAAUUAAACUAAACUCAAUCCCCGGCAACGACGUCAAAACCUUGUUCGCGAAAUAUUUCUUUCGAUUUAAAUUACCGCAAGUGUAUGGUUCGUUAACAAAUAAUAAAGUGGAUCAAUUGAGUCCGAAUAUCGUCCCACAGAGAUUGGUUAAUUCAAUUUUACUUAUUUUAACCUUAUCCGAAACUAAUUGAGUUGAAAUGAAUUUUGGAAUCAAAAACCCUAAUUUUGGGAGAAAUCCCCAAAUUGAAAAACCCUAAUUUCAAUAAAAACCCUAAAUUGGGGAAAAUCCCCAACUUGAAAACCUCUAAUUUCAAAUCAAACCCUAAUUACUUAAAUUCACUUAACUAAUGACUCAAUUACGAAAUGUUAUGAACAAUCAAUGAAAUGUAUUGUCAAUUUAUGAAAAUCUAUGUAAAACAAAUGCACUAGGAUCACGAAUCCCCAAAUAAUUACCAAUUAAAUCCUAAUUUCACAAUUUUGAUAAUUCAAUAAGAAUUUGAUAAAUCAAUGCUCCUAAAUCUAUUCAAUACUCUCUCUCGAGAUGUAUUGAACCUAUUCUCAUAAAUCAUCAGCCUAUAUCUCUAUGACGGAUGCAAUUUUACAAGAACGCAUAUAAUCUUUUUGUGAGCAAUUAAAGAUUUAUAUAGGGCAUAAGGAUAUAUUUCUAUCCCCUAUCGGACCCUAUGAUGAAUUAUAUAUGUCGAGUCUAAUCUAAUUUUCUCAAAUUCAGAAUUAAACCACCAAGUUCACACAAAUCAAGUGCACAUUAAUUGUGGAAAUAAAUAAAUUAAUAUAAUCCAUUCAAAUAUACAUCAAACUAAUAAUUCAAAAUCAUAAAUAGCAAGUUUAAUGAAAAUUACAUGGUUCAUCGAUCACCUAGUUGCAAAAAUCUAGCCUAUCAUGAUAAAAAUAACGAAAACUAACAAAAUAAAACUAAAAUACAUCACCGGGUUAUCAAAUGUUGAAGAAUUCUCGUAAAUCUCGCAUCAAUUGCUUGUUCUUGCCUUCAAUUCCACUCCAAGAAUGAAUGAUUUUGCCUCCCAAGUCGUUCUUGCGGCUUCUGGACGUCUUGUUGCUAUUUAAACCCGUCCAAAUUAGGUUACCAAAGGAGUUGCAAUCGUAUAAGGAAAGUGCAAAAUUCGGGAAAAUUUAUACCUAUGUGAUCGCAUAGGCAUAACCUAUGCGACCGCAUAGGUUUAAGGAAAACGUCCUUUUUAAUCCCUGGAGGUUCACUCGCGGUCGCAUAGGUUUUAUACUAUGCGACCGCAUAGUGGAGUUACUUUCUUGUUUGAGUCAUUUUGGUCCUCAAGUUUCAUUCCUUCACUCCUUGACCUUCUCUCUUGUUCCUAGUUGCUCCAAUGGUCCCUUAUAACUUCCAAUUGGUGCUUGGCUUGAUCAAUUGCUUGAUGUGUUCAUCGGAUCAACU
rnacentral:lncRNA from 1 species